rnacentral:rRNA from 1 species
UAGGGAAUCUUCGGCAAUGGACGAAAGUCUGACCGAGCAACGCCGCGUGAGUGAAGAAGGUUUUCGGAUCGUAAAACUCUGUUGUUAGAGAAGAACAAGGACGUUAGUAACUGAACGUCCCCUGACGGUAUCUAACCAGAAAGCCACGGCUAACUACGUGCCAGCAGCCGCGGUAAUACGUAGGUGGCAAGCGUUGUCCGGAUUUAUUGGGCGUAAAGCGAGCGCAGGCGGUUUCUUAAGUCUGAUGUGAAAGCCCCCGGCUCAACCGGGGAGGGUCAUUGGAAACUGGGACACUUGAGUGCAGAAGAGGGGAGUGGAAUUCCAUGUGUAGCGGUGAAAUGCGUAGAUAUAUGGAGGAACACCAGUGGCGAAGGCGGCUCUCUGGUCUGUAACUGACGCUGAGGCUCGAAAGAGUGGGGAGCAAACAGG